rnacentral:rRNA from 1 species
GGCCCCCCCUCUCUUUAUCCGGAUUUAUUGGGUUUAAAGGGAGCGUAGGCGGAUGUUUAAGUCAGUUGUGAAAGUUUAAGGCUCAACCUUGAAAUUGCAGUUGAUACUGGACGUCUUGAGUGCAUUAAAUGUGGGCGGAAUUCGUGGUGUAGCGGUGAAAUGCUUAGAUAUCACGAAGAACUCCAAUUGCGAAGGCAGCUCACAGGACUGUAACUGACGCUGAGGCUCGAAAGCGUGGGGAGCAAACAGG